CGGGACGGGUGAGUAAUGCCUAGGAAUCUGCCUGGUAGUGGGGGACGAACGUUUCGAAAGGAACGCUAAUACCGCAUACGUCCUACGGGAGAAAGCAGGGACCUUCGGGCCUUGCGCUAUCAGAUGAGCCUAGGUCGGAUUAGCUAGUUGGUGAGGUAAUGGCUCACCAAGGCGACGAUCCGUAACUGGUCUGAGAGGAUGAUCAGUCACACUGGAACUGAGACACGGUCCAGACUCCUACGGGAGGCAGCAGAU
rnacentral:rRNA from 1 species